AGAAAGUGGAAACUCUCCGCGAAGGCUUUCCUCGCCGCUGCGGCUCGCGCCUUGCUUCUUCCCCUAGGUUCACCUGCCUGCCCGAGUGACUGAGAGCCGAGCGGACCGGCCCCCGCCGCCCGGAACGCACUUCCAGUCCCAUGGAGCCCGAACUCCUGCUCGGCAUCUCUACUUUCCGCUCCGGCUGAGCUGCUCUGGAGCCCGAGACCGGGGAGGCGCGACUCUCGGCCCACAGCCGCACCGCCGCCGGGUGCUGUCCGCCCUCCGAGACCCGCGCCAGCACAUCGUAUGGGACUGGGGCUCCAAUGGCAAACAUGACUUCAUUGGCGAAUACACCUCAGCAUUCAAGGAGAUGAGAGGAGUGAUGGAAGGGAAACAGGUCACCCACAACAUGGAAGAAAUCGACUCCUAAUACAAUCUUCCCACAGUAUCUCUAAGUUACAUGUGGACUUUGGGUGAAAUGGAUCUGGAUCCACCAUGAGUUCAGCUUCAGGACAGCACUCAAUCAAGUCCAUGCAGACAGGAACCAGUUGUCUUUAGGAACUUCCAGAGGAGGCACCACCAUGGGAUUACAAGUCUCAUGUGUGGGGCCCCAGCUGAAGAACCAAGAUGAGCAGAGAAAGAUCCUUCCUCCUCUGCAGAGAGACCCUCCCUCGAUAUGUGGUCACCCCAGACACCUGCUCACCCCAAGUACCUGGUCACCUGGGCUAUCUGAUUGGUUCCUCGUCCUCCACCUCCCCCAGGCGAUGACUUAUCGCAACGAUCCUGGCAGCUGCUGAAUAAAAUCUGUGUGGGCUGCUUUAAAGACCAUCUGGCUCUGGUUCUGUUUGAAAGAGGAUGCAGCAGGAAGAUGACUGUCUCCAUGCCAAAGAGGGAGGCCACAGAGAAACCAACCCUGCCAACACGUUGAACUCGGAGCUCCAGCCUUUGGAACCUGUGAGUCAAUACAUGUCUAUUGUUUAACCACCUCAUCCGUGGUGUUUGUUACAGCGGCCCCAGGAAACACAGACACCAUCGUCUGUGGAGAGGUGGUGGAGAGCUGGGUUUGUACUUGAGCUCCACCACCAGUGAGCCAUCUGCCUGUGCCUUGGUUUCUCACCUGUAAAAUGGGAUUGGUAAUAGGGCCCAUCUCACAGAUCAUAGGGAGGCUCCCGCAAGUUAAAGCAUGUGAGGCACUCAGGGCCCAUGUUAACCACGCAGCGUGUUGGCCAUCCGCCCCACAUUCUGGACCCUCUCCUCUGGUGGGGAGGUAUUCCUUCUAGGCUGGAGGGGGUCCAUCCACCGGUACCAUCUCCAGCUGUUAGAACCUCUUCGUGUAGAGGCAGAGAGGGUUCAGAAUUUGCCACCCCAAAUAUGCCGCAUUGGCCCAAGCGUUACUUUGAGUUGAAGGCUUGAGAAGCAGCAAAAGGAAAAACUGCCCCCCUCCACCUGCCUGAUCCUUUGUGAGGUUGGUCCCCUCCCUCUCCUGUACCAGGAAGGGGAGAAAGGAUCUUAUCAUCUGAGAAGGUACCAACUUCAGUCUGUGUAACAAACCUCACUGAAUCAGCUCUGUCUUCCAUUAUGUCCCCCUGUUUAUUUACCUUCCCACAACUUACUGCCCCAAGAAACUGAAAGCUGCUUUCCUUUGUCUUGUCUCUUCUCCAGAAAUUGAUCACCCUUUGUCAACACGGCACGUAAACCCUAUCUAACUAUCUCUUUGCAUCUCCACUUCUUUUCUGUGAAGGCCUCUGUACACAGACAUAAUAAACCUUUUGCUCCUGUUAAUCUGUUGUCAGUUUAAUUUGCAGAUCCUGGGUACAGAACAUAAGAGAGUAGAGGAAGAUCUUUCAUGCCCUGCACAGCAUCGAGUACACCAAGAGUCAACCCCCCUUUGUUCUUGUUCUGUCUCAGCAGCAACAGAGACCAACCAACCCUCUCCCCAUCUAUGAGAUAUUCGACUAGCACCCUCUGCCUCCAUCUUCUCUCAUAGCCUGUCCCAUGGCUCUCUCAGCUUAUGCCCUGUCUCAUAAAUGUCCCCCUGGGCAUAAGCGUGGGACCCCAGGCCACCAGGGAGGUGUGUGACAUUCAGGCAGCAAGUGUCCAGGGGGCUGGAGCUGGACGCUGCCACACGGCACACACAGAAGUGAUUCCAUCCCAGUGCCAUCUAGCUAGGAUGGCCCGCACAGCCCACAUGCAAGUUUCUGAAAUGCUGGUGGAUUGGGGCCAGGGUUCGGACUCCAAAACCCCACUCUCAGGCCUCUGCAGCAUGGGAUGGCUGCAUCACAGGGGCCCCAAGGGGGAGUGUGGUCAGCCCCAUUGCAGGGACAACUCUGAUGUCCUUAUUAGGAGAACAGGGGCGGGCCUGUGCCCCUCUCAACCACCCACCUCACUGGGCCCCCUUCAGUACUACAGCCAAUGGAGUACUGCCUGGAAGCUGUGCCCUCCUGGAUCCUAUCCAAGUUGGGCCAGGUCUCAAUGAUCCCAGACCGAGGGGGUCAGGUGACUCCUGGGCUCUCAUAGGGAUUCCCCAUUUUUCUUUUAAGGGAGAACCUCUGAGUUUCAAAUGAAGAAACCAGAACUUACCAACCCAAAAUGUGCCUGUUUGGUGUUAAGGAUAUUUCUGAGCAGAAGGCCGCUAAGAACCAGCAGACUCAGGAAACUUGAGAACAGGACUCAAGCAUCCCUUCCGUAAAGGAAAUCUCCAUUGAUAAAGGAAAUGCCUGCUUGUAGGGACCUCUUCUUCCAUAUGUGGAAGAGGAGGCUGCUUGAUAAUGCUCAUCAAUUAAAAAAAAAAUCACCAACUUGAAUCCACAUCACAAACUUCCCUAAACACCCUCAUUCACUGGGCUUUCCUGACCUACUCGCCCCAGACACCUUUCCUUUGUCCAGCCCAUGAUGGUAUUACGUCCCCAGUUCUCACUGCCCCCCUUGGGUAACAUUUCUUUCUAAACUCCCACAUGUCAUUCAAACAUUUAUGAAACAGGGCAUAAGCUGUUAGUCUGUCUUUUCUCAGUUUAACUUCUGGGUUCCAAGCACAGAGCCUGGAAGUGGAGAGGGCACUGGGCUGGCUGCCAUCCACCGUGAAAGCCAUGCUGGAGUCUUCAGGAAUGGCAGGAGCCACUGUUAAACACAGCUCGUGUCAGAAGUGUACUUACAACCUUGGCACUGAAUAAACCAUAAAGGCAGCAAACCCUUGAAACUCACCACUGUGACCAGACCUCACCACUUAUCAUCGUACUUUAUCUACUACCAUCUCUGUGCUGGCUCCCCCACCUCCCCCUACAGCGUGUGUGGCGGAAACGCUCUCUGGGUUUCUUCCCAACCCCAUGUUCAGGAAUGCCACAUUGAAAGCUUUAAACUGGCUACCGUGGGAAUACCUACACCACAGAAACAACAAAUGCCACAACCCAGCCUUGGUUGAUUGUUUUGCUGAUGGUCUAAACUUAGAAAGUGAUGGGGAGGGGAGUUCCCAUCGUGGCACAGUGGUUAACGAAUCCCGACUAGGAACCAUGAGGUUUCAGGUUCAAUCCCUAGCCUGGCUCAGUGGGUUAAGGAUCCAGCAUUGCCGUGACCUGUGGUGUAGGUUGCAGAUGCGGCUUGGAUCCUGUGUUGCUGUGGCUCUGGCAUAGGCUGGCGGCUACAGCUCCGAUUAGACCCCUAGCCCGGGAACCUCCAUAUGCCACAGGAGCGGCCCAAGAAAUAGCAAAAAGACAAAAAAAAAAAAAAAA
ensembl:lncRNA